rnacentral:rRNA from 1 species
AACCUUUACACUGCACGCCAGUGCGAUAAGGGGACCCCGAGUGAAAGGGCAUAUCGCCCUUUCUUUUCUGAACCGUAGGGAGAUUCAGGAACAAGAGCUGGGCAAGACCGGUG